ensembl:lncRNA
UUUUUUUUUGGUCUCUUUUUAGGCCCUCACCGGCGGCAUAUGGAGGUUCCCAGGAUAGGAGUCAAAUCGGAGCUACAGCUGCUGGCCUAUGCCACAGCACAGCAAUGCCAGAUCCAAGCCACGUCUGUGACCUCCACUAGAGUUCAUGGCAACGCCAGAUCCUUAACCCACUGAGCAAGGCCAGGGAUCGAACCCCCAACCUCAUGGUUCCCAGUCAGAUUCAUUUCCUCUGUGCCAUGACAGGGAACUCCUUAUACAUUCAUUUUUAACUAAUGACUUAGAAAAUUGACGUCUGUAGGUCUUUGACAUAUCAUUUCUGAACACUAACUGAAAACAUAAGGUACAAAACACUUAAGUGAGAAAAUAACAACCCUUUCUAUUGAGAUCAGUUAGUAAGCAGAAAGUAUCUUUUGGUACUUUCCUGAGUUGUCUAAGCUCUUGUCUAGAUCCACACUCUCUCUCUUUCUCUCUCUCUCUCACACACACAAACAUACACACACACACCCACCUUGACCGCUUACUUUGAUAUUUAAAAGGAGAUUUUCCAACAUAAACUGUUAUACUGUAAAAUGUAUGAUUAGUCUUGGCUGGGUUCCCUGAGCAACCUAUAUCACGUACUUUUGUUCCUACACCUGCAAUCCAAUUGUAUCAGCAACAAGACGACUUACCGGCCCAAAGGAGUUACUGUCAAAACUGUGUCCGUGAUGAUCACCUUCGACCCAGAUGUGACCCCGAGGGACUUUGACAUAGCGGUUUUUGUGUCCCAUGGUUCUAGAAGUAAAUAGCAUAACCAUUGAGAAAAGAUCAGAAAAGAGACAGAUCAAAUAGCGAAGCACACAAAUUCAGGAAGGGCAAAAAUACCGCUAUAUAGAUGUAGCAGAUUAUUAUAGGGAGCAAUAAGGCCACUCCAGGAUCUCAUUUGUAAAUAAGAUGUGGUUAGGACCCUGUAAACCUGUCCACAGUCUUUUUUUCAUGUUUCUGUAGGUAGGAAUUUAGUGCUUAAACAAGACGCACUAGCACCAGAUGUAAUGGUUUGCUACUUAAUUUAAUUCACAGUAUCCUAUAUGUGUAUGAAGCUCGCUCAAUAAACCCCAACCAAAUAUAGAUCUAUUUUUUUUUCUGACAUUUGUUCUUAUCUCAACGGUUAACUUGGCCAGCUGCAAACUUCAUUUUUUUGUGUCAGAUAAAUUUUACAAACAACUGACAGCAUUUUCAUAACCUCUUAAUACUUUAAAAUUCAGCAUAUAUAAGGAAGAAACCUAGAUAUCUCUUGUCAAAUAUAAAUGAUCGAUGCCAAGCAAAAAUUUUGGAAGGACUAUUUAUUUCAUAAAUUAUUCUUGGAGAUGACAAACAUUUUUUUAACAAGUUUGAAGACUGUAUUUAGAGAUCAGUGAUCGACGACAUGCAUUUAGUAGAACAUUCUAUCUUCAGGCUGACAAGGAAAAAGUAAGGAGAGGCUUUCUCAGAAUGUGUUGGUGACAAUGUCAAAUGAUGCAAUUUUUUUCCUAUUUUGCUACUUGGGGCAUAUUUUUGUCAAAUUUAUUAAUAGACUAAAAUGUAUGUGCCUUUUCCCUUAUUUUACUAAGAGAAAUCAAUUCCAAAGAAAUACUCAGAAAUAUGUACAAAUAUUAAUUACUAGAGAUGUUCAGCACAAGCCUUUCAUAGCUCCCUCUCUUAUAUAUCUUUCAAAAUAAUCAACAAAAGAUUAGUUAAAUAAACUGUGAUACAACUAAUUAAAUAAAAGAGAUGGAAUUAGAUUAAAUAUUAUCCCAAUACUAUAACAAUAAAUUACUUUUGAGGGCAGAAACUAUUUUUUUCUUUUAUUCUCCAAAGAAUUCCAGAUAAGGCCUAGCUUAAGCUUAACAAUAAAUGAUGGUGGAUUGAAUAAAUUAAUAAAUGCCACCCCCAAGUCUAUAGAGCUAAACCCAGAGCCUGAGGUUUGUACACUGUUCUUCCAGGUGUAGUCCCUAUUAGACCAUUUAUGUUAGCAAGUUUGUAUGUGCAAGAAGAACACCUAAAAAGGGAAAACUACAUAUAAAUUGGCACUGUAGAAAUUAAAACUAUUCGUUAUCUAGAGCGGCUUUUAAUUUUCAAGAUAAUUUCAGUGUUGAAUUACUUUGCUUUAGAUCAGUAAAUCAUUCAUGCAAGGAAGCAAUGUUGUGGCCAUUAGAAGCCCACAGUAAGUUAAUGACUGUUGUUUAUUUUUAAUUACUACUGGGAAGAAGAGUUUCAGCUUUUUAAAGAAAAGGAGAAACACACUGAAUACAUCAUACUGUCAUGUAAGUGUUCUUCAAUUAAAAUCAGUCAAUUAGCUCUUGACAUCACUACUGCUUUCAUCAUGAGAUUCCCUCUAGCAACUAAUAUCCUACAUCCAGUGUCAAGAAUGGGGAGAAGACCCUUUUACUUAAUUGUUGGCAAGGCACACUUGUCCAACUGUUUGUCUACCUUAUUCGGCUGGCUAUUUUGAAUAAAUACUUAGAAAGGAAACAACCAUUUUGUCUCUUUAAAUAAUCAUUCAUGAAGAAUUGUGAAAUAAACCCAGUGAUUUCUGAAAUGAAAUGGUAGAUUUUAAAUCAAGCAUAUUCAGAAAACCAGAAGAAUGAUAUAAAAGUCAGAGAUCGUUUCAAUGCCAUAUAAACCAAGGAGUCAAGAUAGAUUGUGAUUGAAAAUCACAGGAUCAUAAAGUGACGAGUGACAGUGGCAUGUUUACUUGCGUUGAUCAUCUUAUUUUAAAAGUUUAAAUACCAUUUUCUAGCCCCUUACAAUGCUUUAUUUUUUUUUUCAUUGUAACUACUAACAUGUCAUUCACUUACUACUUUGUGUAUUGCCUACUUUCCCCACAAGAAGGUAAAGUUUAGAACUUCAUGUUUCUUGUUCACUAGAGGAUUGCCAGAGCGCAAAAGAAUAGAUGGUACAAAAUGCUCAACAAACGUUUGUUAAAUGAGUAACCAAAAGAGUGCAUAAUUGAAGAAUGAAAAAUACUGCCACAUGGUUGAAUUAUAUAGUAGAAAGUGGAUAGAGUCUGGAGACAGGCUAGACCAGUUUUAAUCUUGAUGCUGUUACUCACAAGAACUCUCAUACAAGUUACUUAGUUUCUACCUCUGUUUGUCCACCCUUAAAAUGGGCUCGAUUAUGGAGUUCCCAUCGUGGCUCAGUGGAAAUGAAUCCGACUAAGAACCAUGCUGUUGCAGGUUUGAUCCCUGGCUUUGCUCUGUGAGUUAAGGAUCAGGCACUGCCAUCAGCUGUGGUGUAGAUUGCAGACACGGCUCAGAUCUGGUGCUGCUGUGGCCCUGGCGUAGGCCAGCGGCUGCUGAAGUUCUGAUUAAACCCCUAGCCUAGAAACCUCAAUAUGCCGUGGGUACAGCCCUAAAAAGACAAAAAGACAGAAAAAGUAAAUAAAAGAAAAGAAAAAAAAAAUGGGAUGGAUUAGACAUACCCUAACUGGGUUGUGAUGGGUUAGGUGAGAAUGUAAUGGAGAGGUUGUUACACAGCAGUCUCUGCACUCUGUCUUGGCUUUGAUAUCUGACUUAACAUGGUCAAGUUUAUGUGCUCUUGAGCAAGUUGAUAAAGCUCUUAAGUGUUGAUUUUCUCAUUUGUAGAAUGGAGCAAAUAAUAGUUUCAACUCAAAAAGUUGUUCUAUGGAUAAAAGUGGCAUGUAUUAAACACUUGAUAAAUGGAUUCGCUUAAGAGUUGAGACUUAUUCAGUAAAGCACUCAAUAUAGUUCUGAUAUAUAGUAAGAACUCAAUAAGUGGUAGUUAUUUUUGCUAUCAUCUUCCUUGGUCCACUCUUUUCUUUCAUUUUAUAAUUCAGAAUGUGUUCAGCCUCUACUAUUAGCAUCAGUCUCUUAAAAUUACCUGAGUUAUGCUUCAAUAAUUUCUUUUCCCCACAUUUGCACGGGGGCUAUAGAAUAUAUUUAAUGGUACAAUGAAUCUUAUUUUUUAUUCUUAUGCCCUUCAGGGAUAUUCUAAAACUCAGAAUGUGAAAACACAAUCUAUCUGUGCAGAUUCAAACAUGCAGAGAGUAGCAGGUGAAAGCACAAUGUAUCUAUUUGUGUUUUCACUAACUAAUCACUCAC